rnacentral:rRNA from 1 species
CCUACGGGUGGCUGCAGUGGGGAAUAUUGGACAAUGGGGGCAACCCUGAUCCAGCCAUGCCGCGUGUGUGAAGAAGGCCCUCGGGUUGUAAAGCACUUUCAGUGAGGAAGAACGCCUGGUGGUUAAUACCCAUCAGGAAAGACAUCACUCACAGAAGAAGCACCGGCUAACUCCGUGCCAGCAGCCGCGGUAAUACGGAGGGUGCGAGCGUUAAUCGGAAUUACUGGGCGUAAAGCGCGCGUAGGUGGCUUGAUAAGCCGGUUGUGAAAGCCCCGGGCUCAACCUGGGAACGGCAUCCGGAACUGUCAAGCUCGAGUGCAGGAGAGGAAGGUAGAAUUCCCGGUGUAGCGGUGAAAUGCGUAGAGAUCGGGAGGAAUACCAGUGGCGAAGGCGGCCUUCUGGACUGACACUGACACUGAGGUGCGAAAGCGUGGGUAGCAAACAGGAUUAGAUACCCUGGUAGUC